rnacentral:rRNA from 1 species
CUCUCGGAGUGACGGGUACACUGUGGGGACCGCCGCUGCUAAAGCGGAGGAAGGAAUGGGCAACGGUAGGUCAGUAUGCCCCGAAUAUCCCGGGCUACACGCGAGCUACAAUGGUUGGUACAAUGGGUAUCUACCCCGAAAGGGGACGGGAAUCUCCUAAAACCAAUCUUAGUUCGGAUUGAGGGCUGCAACUCGCCCUCAUGAAGCUGGAAUCCGUAGUAAUCGCGUUUCAACAGAACGCGGUGAAUACGUCCCUGCUCCUU